GCAAGUCGAACGAGACCUUCGGUUCGAAUGUCGCACGGUUGCGUAACGCUUGGUAACCUGCCCAAAUGUGCCGAAUAACUCAGGGAAACUUGAGCUAAUACCUCAUGAUGCCGAAAGGCCAAAGAUUUAUCGCCUUUGGAUGACUUGCGUCGGAUUAGCUAGUUGGUGGGGUAAUGGCCCACCAAGGCGACGAUCCGUAGCUGGUUUGAGAGGAUGAUC
rnacentral:rRNA from 1 species